rnacentral:rRNA from 1 species
UGAGGCAAAAGGAGGCCUCUGCAUGCAAGCUUCCGCUUGAGGAUGGGCCCGCGCACCAUUAGCUAGUUGGCGGGGUAAUGGCCCACCAAGGCGACGAUGGUUAGCUGGUCUGAGAGGAUGAUCAGCCACACUGGAACUGACACACGGUCCAGACUCCUACGGGAGGCAGCAGUGGGGAAUAUUGCGCAAUGGGGGAAACCCUGACGCAGCAACGCCGCGUGUGCGACGAAGGCCUUCGGGUCGUAAAGCACUGUCAGGAGGAAAGAACGUGUCGGCGGUUAAUACCCGUCGGCAUUGACGGUACCUCCGAAGGAAGCACCGGCUAACUCCGUGCCAGCAGCCGCGGUAAUACGGAGGGUGCAAGCGUUGUUCGGAAUUACUGGGCGUAAAGCGCGUGUAGGCGGCUCGUUUAGUCCGAUGUGAAAGCCCUGGGCUUAACUCAGGAAGUGCAUUGGAUACUGGCGGGCUUGAGUACGGGAGAGGAGAGUGGAAUUCCUAGUGUAGAGGUGAAAUUCGUAGAUACUAGGAGGAACACCAGUGGCGAAGGCGGCUCUCUGGCCCGAUACUGACGCUGAGACGCGAAAGCGUGGGGAGCAAACAGGAUUAGAUACCCUGGUAGUCCACGCGGUAAACGAUGGGCGCUAGGUGUAGGAGGUGUUGACCCCUCCUGUGCCGUAGCUAACGCAUUAAGCGCCCCGCCUGGGGAGUACGGUCGCAAGACUAAAACUCAAAGGAAUUGACGGGGACCCGCACAAGCGGUGGAGCAUGUGGUUCAAUUCGACGCAACGCGAAGAACCUUACCUGGGUUUGAACUUGCGGAGACCGCCUCGGAAACGAGGUUUGCCUUCCUUCGGGGAGGACCUGCGUGAGAGGUGCUGCAUGGCUGUCGUCAGCUCGUGUCGUGAGAUGUUGGGUUAAGUCCCGCAACGAGCGCAACCCUUGUCCCUAAUUGCCAGCAUUCAGUUGGGCACUUUAGGGAGACUGCCGGCUCUUAAGCCGGAGGAAGGUGGGGAUGACGUCAAGUCCUCAUGGCCUUUAUGCCCAGGGCUACACACGUGCUACAAUGGCCGGUACAAAGGGUCGCAAUCCCGCGAGGGGGAGCCAAUCCCAAAAAUCCGGUCUCAGUUCGGAUUGGAGUCUGCAAUUCGACUCCAUGAAGUCGGAGUCGCUAGUAAUCGCGUAUCAGCACGACGCGGUGAAUACGUUCCCGGGUCUUGUACACACCGCCCGUCACACCAUGGGAGUGGGGUGCAACAGAAGUCGCUGUGCCAACCGCAAGGAGGCAAGCGCCUAAGUUGUGUCUCAUGACUGGGGUGAAGUCGUAACAAGGUA